rnacentral:sRNA from 1 species
UCCCAUAAGAAGUGCUUUGGAAUUUAUAUUCCAUCGGUUCUUUUGGGAUUUUUUUAUGGAAAGAUUGACUAUUUGUAAUUUCCACGUUUGACGUGCAAGUUUUUUAGGAGGAAUCGUAUCAUGCAAAACGGUACAGUAAAAUGGUUCAACGCAGAAAAAGGUUAUGGCUUCAUUCAAGUAGAAGGCGGAAAUGACGUAUUCGUUCACUUCUCUGCUAUCCAAGAAGAAGGAUUCAAAUCUCUUGAAGAAGGACAAGAAGUAACUUUCGAAAUCGUAGAAGGCGACCGUGGCCCGCAAGCGGCUAACGUUGUGAAAGCAUAAAUAUUUACAAACGGCAAUCUCUCCCUGAGAUUGCCGUUUUU